rnacentral:lncRNA from 1 species
AGCCGGUGGAACCGAGGUGCCUAGAAGCCGUCUGGCUUGCACUUCCCGAGGACGGAGACAGCGCAGUAACCACUCAAGGCUUCCUACAGAUGCUCACCCCUGCCCCAAGCAAGUUCGCUAAGCCUCCCGGAAGGCUGAGGUCCCGAGGGAAGUGGCAGGGAGGGAACUCCGUUCUCUUUGCUCACGUUUAGACUCUGAACCGGAGCUGGACAGCAUUGAGACCACACCUGGUCAGCAAAAGGGCAACCUGAUAGCCAUCGCGAGGGAACGUGGGGGCAAAGAAGCCACAGUAGAGCUACGAGGAGCUCGAUUUGAAGGUCCCCCAACUCUGACACGCUGGACCCCACCACUGGAAGUGCCUCCUGGAGCCAGUGCAUCGAGAAGGAACGAUUCUUAGGACCUCAGAUCCGGUGUCCUCUGCGGGAACACACCAAGACUCUAGGCCAGAAAAGGGUUGAGCUGCGGAAGCCCUGAGAUCUAGCCUUACUUUCCCACCCCAAUUCCUUAGAACAAUCCCUGCACCUGGAUUUCCACAUCUCAUCCCCAUUCGAACAGGUGAGCCCAUCAGAACCCAUCAUCCUAUCCUUGCGUGAGCCCUCACUGAGGGCUCCAACUACCCAGCCAGGAGACAGCGCCAGACCUAUGCAGUUACUGGUAGGAACUAGAAUCCAGCAGGGUAUAGUGCUAGUGCCCUGGUAACGAUCAGGGACACCCUAGAACUGUUUGCAGAAUCAGCAGGUUGCUGCCACCCUCCUGGUUCCUCUUCUUGUCCUGUUCUGCAUCCAUCCCUAGGACUGUGACCGAUCAGACCCCAGAAUGGGAAGGAUGAAUGAAAGAACGCAGGAUUCUCCACUUGGUCCCAGCGCAGCUGCUGCCUCGGAAAGAGCCCUGUGCCUGCAGCCGUCCCUUCAUGUUGCUCUGUACUUGUUAUUCCGAGGUCAGGGAACACUAGCUUGGAGUGAAAUGGGUGCUGGGUGAGCUGAGAUGUGGGCCAUUGAGUGUCAGCUGCUGCAGAGGCAGUGGGGCGGGGGCCAUGUAUGGCUAGACUAGGGAAGGGGCGGCUCCACACUGUUGGGCAUCUGGCUUGCCGCCAACAAUGCCUCCAUUAUUUCCCAACGUCCAUGGCAGUGAAAUGGCCCUUGGGGAAUCAGAGUUCAAGCGGGAGACUUGGCCUGGGGAUUCUUGCUGCAAGCCAAAGCAGUUCUGGAAGCUGUGGGACAUUCAAUCUCUAGGGCCAGCCCCAGGCCUUUCUGGUCACUGCUGACCCUGUAGCUUUCCUGUUCUCCUGCCUGCGGUCACCUUGUACUUUUUUCUCCGCAGCCACUCCCUCCUAGUCACCCCUCUGCAUUCUGUCUCUUCUCUUCUUCCUGCCUGGCAUGGAGACCUGUAGGUUGCAAUGGCUCUUACCUGGAGUCCUGUUGAAGGUACAGAGGGCAGAAGCUCCAGGGGCACCGGGCCUCUCUCGGUGGCAAUCGAGUUCUGUUUCUAGCAGCAUGGCAGUCACUAAUCCAGUGGUUCCUGCCGGGUGUUCCUGGAGUGCUGGACCUCUUUCAGGCCUUGGCCCACUCGCUGGGCUGGCGCUGUCCGCGGUGCUGAAGGAGGCACCAGCGUGCUGGGGACCUUCACAAGCCUGCCCCGCCCCUCCUCUGUCCCCGCCCUUGGCCCCUUCCAGGCCUGGGCAGGCGGAGUCAGGCUGGCGUCACUCUAGGGCUGGGUCUGACUAGUUUAUAAUUCGAGGUAGCCUUUUCUCAGAACCUUCCUUUACCUAUUACAGAGUAGCAUAGUGGCUCCAACUUGCUCUGUCGCGGGCUCUGGGCCUUGGCUAGAGGUGCCACGUUCAUAGUACUUGGGUUUGGGAGCCUCUGAGCUGUUAGCCUGGGACUGCGCUCCUCACCCACUCGGUGGAAUAGAUUCUGGGCCCAAAGGCCUUUUGCUUGCAGGCACAGGUCAGAAGCCUCCAACUACGAACUCAACCACCUGCAUCCAGUACUCUGAAGGCAGAUUUUAGUCCCUUUUCUCCAACCCCUACUUCCAGAAAAGGGUCAUGUAUGCAAACCCACCAGCUACUGAAGAGCUGAAGGGGUCCUGAGCAGAAGUUCCCAGGUGCCUGCAGGGCAAUCUGCCCCAGGCUGGGCACAGAUGGGAGGGAAAUUUGGCGAGAGGCUCAACAGCUUUCUAGGUUGACUGGCUGGUCCUCCCAGGCUCUGUGGGUUCAGAGACAGUCUGAGGAUGCAGCUCUCAGCAUAGUCCAUUCUCACUUCACUUUCUGCCUGACCUCUAGGCUGUCUUCCCGAACGCCUCUAGUUUAUUUAUACAAAAAAUUCUUAGAACCUCAGCGUUGUGUCUGCAAACUAGAUGGGAGAAAAGGGUUUGGAGAAUUCCCUGAAUCCAGCUUUACAUAAAGCUGCUCACAUUUCAAAAAAAAACUGAAAACAACUUUACUAAAUGUCAAAUUUCUUUAUUCUUACAAUGUGCACAUUAGAGUUUACUUAAAUACAAAAUGUACCCCUUCUUUAAGAAAUUUCAUUGACAUUUUCAUGCCAAUUGCUUUUUACUCAAAAUCUUUUCAUUAAAAAAUAAAUAAACAUUUAAAUUACUGA